rnacentral:rRNA from 1 species
CCUACGGGUGGCAGCAGUAGGGAAUAUUGCUCAGUGGGGGAAACCCUGAAGCAGCAACGCCGCGUGGAGGAUGAAGGUUGUAGGAAUGGAAACGCCUUUUGGGAGAGAAGAGAAGGACGGUAGCUGACGAAUAAGCAGCGGCGAACGCCGUGCCAGCAGCCGCGGUAAUACGGAGGGUGCAAGCGUUACCCGGAAGCACUGGGCGUAAAGAGUGCGCAGGCGGGGUGGUCAGGCAGAUGUGAAAUCCUGUAGCUUAACUACAGAACUGCAUUUGAAACUAGGAGUCUAGAGUGUGGGAGCGGUCGGUGGACUUCUUGUUGUAGUGGUCAAAUCC